rnacentral:rRNA from 1 species
ACGAACGCUGGCGGCACGCUUAACACAUGCAAGUCGAACGAGAGAAGAGGAGCUUGCUUUUCUGAUCUAGUGGCGGACGGGUGAGUAACACGUGAGCAAUCUGCCUUUCAGAGGGGGAUACCGAUUGGAAACGAUCGUUAAUACCGCAUAACAUAAUUGAACCGCAUGAUUUGAUUAUCAAAGAUUUAUCGCUGAAAGAUGAGCUCGCGUCUGAUUAGCUAGUUGGUAAGGUAACGGCUUACCAAGGCGACGAUCAGUAGCCGGACUGAGAGGUUGAUCGGCCACAUUGGGACUGAGACACGGCCCAGACUCCUACGGGAGGCAGCAGUGGGGAAUAUUGCACAAUGGAGGAAACUCUGAUGCAGCGAUGCCGCGUGAGGGAAGAAGGUUUUAGGAUUGUAAACCUCUGUCUUCAGGGACGAAAAAAGACGGUACCUGAGGAGGAAGCUCCGGCUAACUACGUGCCAGCAGCCGCGGUAAUACGUAGGGAGCGAGCGUUGUCCGGAAUUACUGGGUGUAAAGGGAACGUAGGCGGGAUCGCAAGUCAGAUGUGAAAACUAUGGGCUUAACCCAUAAACUGCAUUUGAAACUGUGGUUCUUGAGUGAAGUAGAGGUAAGCGGAAUUCCUAGUGUAGCGGUGAAAUGCGUAGAUAUUAGGAGGAACAUCAGUGGCGAAGGCGGCUUACUGGGCUUUAACUGACGCUGAGGCUCGAAAGCGUGGGGAGAAACGAGGAUUAGAGACCCUGGUAGUCCACGCCGUAAACGAUGAGUACUAGCUGUGGAGGGACUGUCCCCUUCCGUGCCGCAGCAAACGCAAUAAGUAAUCCACCUGGGGAGUACGACCGCAAGGUUGAAACUCAAAGGAAUUGACGGGGGCCCGCACAAGCAGUGGAGUAUGUGGAUUAAUUCGAAGCAACGCGAAGAACCUUACCAGGUCUUGACAUCGUAUGCAUAGCUCAGAGAUGAGUGAAAUCUCUUCGGAGACAUAUAGACAGGUGGUGCAUGGUUGUCGUCAGCUCGUGUCGUGAGAUGUUGGGUUAAGUCCCGCAACGAGCGCAACCCUUACUGUUAGUUGCUACGCAAGAGCACUCUAGCAGGACUGCCGUUGACAAAACGGAGGAAGGUGGGGAUGACGUCAAAUCAUCAUGCCCCUUAUGACCUGGGCCUCACACGUACUACAAUGGCUGUCAACAGAGGGAAGCAAAGCCGCGAGGUGGAGCAAACCCCUAAAAGCAGUCUUAGUUCGGAUUGUAGGCUGCAACCCGCCUACAUGAAGUCGGAAUUGCUAGUAAUCGCAGAUCAGCAUGCUGCGGUGAAUACGUUCCCGGGCCUUGUACACACCGCCCGUCACGCCAUGGGAGUCGGUAACACCCGAAGCCUGUAGUCUAACCGCAAGGAGGACGCAGUCGAAGGUGGGAUUGAUGACUGGGGUG